rnacentral:rRNA from 1 species
AACGUAGGAUCCGAGCGUUGUCCGGAAUCACUGGGUGUAAAGGGUGCGUAGGCGGGCUUGCGCGUCAAGGGUUAAAGACCUCGGCUCAACCGAGGGAAUGCCCUUGAUACGGCAGGCCUUGAGGGGGGGAGAGGAUGGUGGAAUUCCUGGUGUAGGGGUGAAAUGCGUAGAGAUCAGGAGGAACACCGAAGGCGAAGGCAGCCAUCUGGACCGCCACUGACGCUGAGGCACGAAAGCGUGGGGAGCAAACAGG